CAGGCAGAUACCAACAGUGACCGGCUCUUCACAGUGAACGAUGUUAAAGUCGGAGGCUCCAAGUAUGGUAUCAUCAACCUGCAAAGUCUGAAGACCCCUACGCUCAAGGUGUUCAUGCACGAAAACCUCUACUUCACCAACCGGAAGGUGAACUCGGUGUGCUGGGCCUCGCUGAAUCACUUGGAUUCCCACAUUCUGUAUCCUUUGGCAGAGGAAGAGGUUUGGUGGGCAGGCCACACCCUGACGUUGGACCUGGGUAUCUGUGGGCUUCAUGACAUGGCAUCUUAGUGACCAGAGGACUGGACCCUUGUGCACUUAUAUCUCACGCUUUAGGAAAAAAAGCAGCGUACCUGGAUAGAACACAAGGAUGCCCGUGGAGCACAGAGAAGCAGCUGAGGUCCCAUCAUGGCUGUUUCUCAAGAUGACAUUGAUGUCACUGUGUGGCAGACACUGUCUGGGCCUUCACAUGCAUGUGGUGGAGACAGGAUGGGAACUCAGGCAGUCUGACUCCAAGGCCGGCUCGCUCUGCCACUGUGGCGUGUGACAGGAGGCUCUGGGUUCACUACACAGACCCAGUAUUCCUGCCGGAGAGCUGGUGUGGUAGCAGAGGAACAAGGCGG
rnacentral:lncRNA from 1 species